rnacentral:sRNA from 1 species
AAUAGGAUUUCUCAAGGGUGGUCAGCACACUUCCAGCAGAAAGGAGGUGAUGCUGCAUGACAGUAUUUGAAACAUUCAUGAUUACGAUUGCUUUUGCAAGCCUAGUCGUAGCGAUUCUGUCAUUUAACCAGAAAAAAUAAUCCACCCUUGAGUUUACCAGACCGAGGUGGAUUACUUUCUGCUUCAUGCUAAUUCCCUUAGAGGGAACCUACUAUUGCAAGGACCGUGUGGUGUACUAGCACC